GAAAUGCGAUAAGUAGUGUGAAUUGCAGAAUUCAGUGAAUCAUCGAAUCUUUGAACGCACAUUGCGCCCCUUGGUAUUCCAUGGGGCAUGCCUGUUCGAGCGUCAUUUGUACCCUCAAGCUCUGAUUGGUGUUGGGUGUUUGUCCCGUCUCCGCGCGUGGACUCGCCCCAAAGUGAUUGGCAGCCGGCGUACUGGUCCCGGAGCGCAGCACAUGUCGCGCAAACGAGUGCCUUGGUACGGCGGCGUCCAUAAGCCCCUCUCUCACGCUCUUGACCUCGGAUCAGGUAGGGAUACCCGCUGAACUUAAGC
rnacentral:misc_RNA from 1 species